ACGAACGCUGGCGGCGUGCCUAAUACAUGCAAGUCGAGCGGAAUGAUGAAGAAGCUUGCUUCUUCUGAUUUUAGCGGCGGACGGGUGAGUAACACGUGGGCAACCUACCUUGUAGAUUGGGAUAACUCCGGGAAACCGGGGCUAAUACCGAAUAAUCCAUUUUGCUUCAUGGCGAGAUGUUGAAAGACGGUUUCGGCCGUCACUAUAAGAUGGGCCCGCGGCGCAUUAGCUAGUUGGUAGGGUAAUGGCCUACCAAGGCGACGAUGCGUAGCCGACCUGAGAGGGUGAUCGGCCACACUGAGACUGAGACACGGCCCAGACUCCUACGGGAGGCAGCAGUAGGGAAUCUUCCACAAUGGACGAAAGUCUGAUGGAGCAACGCCGCGUGAGUGAAGAAGGUUUUCGGAUCGUAAAACUCUGUUGUAAGGGAAGAACACGUACGAGAGUAACUGCUCGUACCUUGACGGUACCUUAUUAGAAAGCCACGGCUAACUACGUG
rnacentral:rRNA from 1 species